GGCCCCAUCGUCUAACGGUUAGGACAUCAGAUUUUCAAUCUGACAAUCAGGGUUCGAUUCCCUGUGGGGUCA
rnacentral:tRNA from 2 species